CUGCUGCCUCCCGUAGGAGUCUGGGCCGUAUCUCAGUCCCAAUGUGGCCGUUCAACCUCUCAGUCCGGCUACUGAUCGUCGACUUGGUAAGCCGUUACCUUACCAACUAUCUAAUCAGACGCAAGGCCAUCUUUUAGCGAAUUGCUCCUUUCCCACUAUUAUCAUGUGAUAACUAUGGCAUAUGCGGUAUUAGCAAUGAUUUCUCAUUGUUAUUCCCCUCUAAAAGGCAGGUUCCUUACGCGUUACUCA
rnacentral:rRNA from 1 species